rnacentral:rRNA from 1 species
GAUGAACGCUGGCGGCGUGCCUAAUACAUGCAAGUCGAGCGAACAGACGAGGAGCUUGCUCCUCUGACGUUAGCGGCGGACGGGUGAGUAACACGUGGAUAACCUACCUAUAAGACUGGGAUAACUUCGGGAAACCGGAGCCAAUACCGGAUAAUAUAUUGAACCGCAUGGUUCAAUAGUGAAAGACGGGUUUGCUGUCUCUUAUAGAUGGAUCCGCGCCGCAUUAGCUAGUUGGUAAGGUAACGGCUUACCAAGGCAACGAUGCGUAGCCGACCUGAGAGGGUGAUCGGCCACACUGGAACUGAGACACGGUCCAGACUCCUACGGGAGGAAGCAGUAGGGAAUCUUACGCAAUGGGCGAAAGCCUGACAGAGCAACGCCGCGUGAGUGAUGAAGGUCUUCGGAUCGGAAAGCUCUGUUAUUAGUGAAGAACAAAUGUGUAAGUAACUAUGCACGUCUUGACGGUACCUAAUCAAAAAGCCACGGCUAACUACGUG